UGCAGUCGAACGCGAAAGUUUUCUUCGGAAAGCGAGUAGAGUGGCGCACGGGUGAGUAACGCGUAAGUAAUCUACCCUGGUAUCUGGGAUAACCCACCGAAAGGUGUGCUAAUACCGGAUACGCUGAUUUAUCAGGAAAGGUGGCCUCUUCAUGAAAGCUACUGUACCAGGAGGAGCUUGCGUACCAUUAGCUAGUUGGUAGGGUAAUGGCCUACCAAGGCGACGAUGGUUAGCGGGUCUGAGAGGAUGAUCCGCCACACUGGAACUGGAACACGGACCAGACUCCUACGGGAGGCAGCAGUGAGGAAUAUUGCGCAAUGGGGGAAACCCUGACGCAGCGACGCCGCGUGGAUGAUGAAGGCCUUCGGGUCGUAAAAUCCUGUCAGAUGGAAAGAAAUGCAUGGAUGUUAAUACCAUUUAUGUUUGACGGUACCAUCAAAGGAAGCACCGGCUAACUCCGUGCCAGCAGCCGCGGUAAUACGGAGGGUGCAAGCGUUGUUCGGAAUUACUGGGCGUAAAGCGCGCGUAGGCGGCUAUUUAAGUCAGAUGUGAAAGUCCACGGCUCAACCGUGGAAGUGCAUUUGAAACUGGAUGGCUUGAGUACUGGAGGGGGUGGUGGAAUUCCCGGUGUAGAGGUGAAAUUCGUAGAUAUCGGGAGGAAUACCGGUGGCGAAGGCGACCACCUGGCCAGAUACUGACGCUGAGGUGCGAAAGCGUGGGUGCAGUCGAAGAUUAGAUA
rnacentral:rRNA from 1 species